rfam:Gossypium hirsutum cultivar TM-1 chromosome 7, whole genome shotgun sequence
CACGUCAGAGCUCUUUGCUGACGUGGCAACAAAUCGCGUCCACGAGGGGGCGAUUUGUUGCCAUAUCAGCAAAGCGCUCUGACGUGG